rnacentral:misc_RNA from 1 species
UGUAGUUAUCUCCCCAGUCAAAAGGCAAGCUAUCAAAAUCAUAAGUACCAAGAAAUUUAGACAACUUAAGGCUGGCAUCUCCAAAAUAUCGGCGACCUUCAACUAGCUUAGCAUAAGGAUCUAAAAGUAUGAUGCUCCUGUCAAAUCGAUGCCCCUGGUGCCAAUUUUGAGGACCAUCUAUCCGAUAACCAUAAAGCACAUUGCUACAAGGCAAAUCCUCAAUACAGAUAUGCCAAAUGUCUCCUGUUUUAUUCACAUGAGGAUCCAAUGCCAGCUCAAUCAAGCUACCACCCAGCCUUUCAUGUGCUUCCCUUUGAGGGAGAGAUAGGCAAAGCGUGACAGAAGUGGCAUGCUGUGAAAAAAUAGCAAAAUUGAUCCCGUUAUCAACUUUAGAUACGCCCAAUGGAAAUGCCUGACCUGGGAAAAUUUUAAAAGUCGGGUCGGUUUCCGACAUUUGAGACGCUUCCUUCUCCUCAAGCACCCGUUCUUGGGCACCACGACCAUAAACACUGGGCUUUCUAUCCUUAUCACGAACCUUUGUCUGACUAAAACUUCGACGGCCACUGCUACUGGAGGCUUGUUUACCCAACUUCAAUCCCAUGUCCAGAACACGAGAAGGUCCAGCAGAAGAAAGGGCAAUGCUGCUGGUGCUGUUAUUAG